rnacentral:rRNA from 1 species
GACGAACGCUGGCGGCGUGCUUAACACAUGCAAGUCGAACGCUGAAGCCCAGCUUGCUGGGUGGAUGAGUGGCGAACGGGUGAGUAACACGUGAGUAACCUGCCCCCUUCUUUGGGAUAACGCCCGGAAACGGGUGCUAAUACUGGAUAUUCACUGGCUUUCGCAUGGGGGUUGGUGGAAAGGUUUUUUCUGGUGGGGGAUGGGCUCGCGGCCUAUCAGCUUGUUGGUGGGGUGAUGGCCUACCAAGGCUUUGACGGGUAGCCGGCCUGAGAGGGUGACCGGUCACAUUGGGACUGAGAUACGGCCCAGACUCCUACGGGAGGCAGCAGUGGGGAAUAUUGCACAAUGGGCGAAAGCCUGAUGCAGCGACGCCGCGUGAGGGAUGACGGCCUUCGGGUUGUAAACCUCUUUCGCUCAUGGUCAAGCCGCAGCUUUGGGUUGUGGUGAGGGUAGUGGGUAAAGAAGCGCCGGCUAACUACGUGCCAGCAGCCGCGGUAAUACGUAGGGCGCGAGCGUUGUCCGGAAUUAUUGGGCGUAAAGGGCUUGUAGGCGGUUGGUCGCGUCUGCCGUGAAAUCCUCUGGCUUAACUGGGGGCGUGCGGUGGGUACGGGCUGACUUGAGUGCGGUAGGGGAGACUGGAACUCCUGGUGUAGCGGUGGAAUGCGCAGAUAUCAGGAAGAACACCGGUGGCGAAUGCGGGUCUCUGGGGCCGUUACUGACGCUGAGAGCGAAAGCGUGGGGAGCGAACAGG